rnacentral:rRNA from 1 species
CUAAGCAUAUCAAUAAGCGGAGGAAAAGAAACUAACAAGGAUUCCCCUAGUAACGGCGAGUGAAGAGGGAAGAGCCCAAGAUUGAAAGCUGGCGUCUUUGGCGUCCGCAUUGUAAUCUCAAGAAGUGUUUUCCGCUUCGGACCAUGCCUAAGUCCCUUGGAAAAGGGCAUCAUAGAGGGUGAUAAUCCCGUACAUGGCAUGGAGCGCCCGAAGCUUUGUGAUACACUUUCUAAGAGUCGAGUUGUUUGGGAAUGCAGCUCAAAAUGGGUGGUAAAUGCCAUCUAAGGCUAAAUAUUGGGGAGAGACCGAUAGCGAACAAGUACAGUGAUGGAAAGAUGAAAAGAACUUUGAAAAGAGAGUUAAACAGUACGUGAAAUUGCCAAAAGGGAAGGGUAGGAGGUCAGAGAUGCGGUCUGGGAUUCAGCCUUGCUUUUGCUGGGUGUUUUUCUCAGAUUGCAGGCCAACGUCGGUUUUGGGCGCUGGAGAAGGGUGGAAGGAAUGUGGCACCUCUCGGGGUGUGUUAUAGCCUUCUACUGGAUACAGUGACCGAGACCGAGGACAGCAGCGUACUCGCAAGAGCGGGCCUUCGGGCACCUUUACGCUUAGGGCGUUGGCAUAAUGGCCCUCUACCACCCGUCUUGAAACACGGACCAAGGAGUCUAACAUGUAUGCGAGUCUUUGGGUGGCAAACCCAUAGGCGCAAUGAAAGUGAAUUCAGGUGGGAUCCGCAAGGUGCACCAUCGACCGAUCCUCACGUCUUUUUAAGUCGUGGAUUUGAGUAAGAGCAUACCUGUUGGGACCCGAAAGAUGGUGAACUAUGCCUGAAUAGGGUGAAGCCAGAGGAAACUCUGGUGGAGGCUCGUAGCGGUUCUGACGUGCAAAUCGAUCGUCAAAUUUGGGUAUAGGGGCGAAAGACUAAUCGAACCACUUAGUAGCUGGUUCCUGCCGA